GAUGAACGCUGGCGGCGUGCCUAAUACAUGCAAGUCGAGCGAACGGACGAGAAGCUUGCUUCUCUGAUGUUAGCGGCGGACGGGUGAGUAACACGUGGAUAACCUACCUAUAAGACUGGGAUAACUUCGGGAAACCGGAGCUAAUACCGGAUGAUAUUUUGAACCGCAUGGUUCAAAAGUGAAAGACGGUCUUGCUGUCACUUAUAGAUGGAUCCGCGCUGCAUUAGCUAGUUGGUAAGGUAACGGCUUACCAAGGCAACGAUGCAUAGCCGACCUGAGAGGGUGAUCCGCCACACUGGAACUGAGACACGCUCCAGACUCCUACGGGAGGCAGCAGUAGGGAAUCUUACGCGAUGGGCGAAAGCCUGACGGAGCAACGCCGCGUGAGUGAUGAAGGUCUUCGGAUCGUAAAACUCUGUUAUUAGGGAAGAACAUAUGUGUAAGUAACUGUGCACAUCUUGACGGUACCUAAUCAGAAAGCCACGGCUAACUACGUG
rnacentral:rRNA from 1 species